AACGACUCUCGGCAACGGAUAUCUCGGCUCUCGCAUCGAUGAAGAACGUAGCAAAAUGCGAUACUUGGUGUGAAUUGCAGAAUCCCGUGAACCAUCAAGUUUUUGAACGCAAGUUGCGCCCGAAGCCUUCGGGCUGAGGGCACGUCUGCCUGGGUGUCACGCA
rnacentral:rRNA from 1 species